CUGGUGUCAGCCGCCGCGGUAAUACCAGCACCUCGAGUGGUCAGGACGUUUAUUGGGCCUAAAGCAUCCGUAGCCGGCUCUGCAAGUCUUCGGUUAAAUCCACCUGCUCAACAGAUGGGCUGCUGGAGAUACUACAGAGCUAGGGAGUGGGAGAGGCAGACGGUAUUCAGUGGGUAGGGGUAAAAUCCUCUGAUCCAUUGAGGACCACCAGUGGCGAAGGCGGUCUGCCAGAACACGUUCGACGGUGAGGGAUGAAAGCUGGGGGAGCAAACCGGAUUAGAUACCCGGGUAGUCCCAGCUGUAAACGAUGCAAACUCGGUGAUGCAUUGGCUUAUGGCCAAUGCAGUGCCGCAGGGAAGCCGUUAAGUUUGCCGCCUGGGAAGUACGGACGCAAGUCUGAAACUUAAAGGAAUUGGCGGGGGAGCACCACAGGGGGUGAAGCCUGCGGUUCAAUUGGAGUCAACGCCAGGAAUCUUACCCGGGGAGACAGCAGAAUGAAGGUCAAGCUGAAGACUUUACCAGACAAGCU
rnacentral:rRNA from 2 species